rnacentral:lncRNA from 1 species
ACUUGUUUAUAAGUGUAUCGCCGAGAAAUGUAUAAAAUAAUCGAGACCGGCGGAGGCAGGUCAGAGCCGUCUGGAAUGCGCGCACCUUCAACGUAAGUAGCCGGCGCGGCCGCUCAGGGUUCGAGCCCCCACCUUGGCCGGGCAGGGGACACCUUGGCCGGGCACCUCCCGGGCUUCCGACAAAAAGGCCUCGGACUUUAUUUGGGCCCGCGUUGGAUUUCUGGCGGAAUCGCCCUCGGGGUCGUUUGGGUUUGGAGGCUUCCGCCUUGCAGGGGGUUUCACAGGGUUGCAGCCUCGCUCGGGCCCAGGCCAGUGCGGAUACUCGGGCCAGGGCAGCUUCGGGUUCAAGGAGGGUCGGCUUCUGAGCCGCUGCGACCGCCGCCCCCGCCCUGCACUGCACCCGCCUCCGGGGGUGGGGGAGGGGUACUUGCCGCGGAACGGGGUCUCCGAGGACCCUGGCCCGGAGAACGGAGGGAGAAGAAGGGACAGCAGUGAGGGCCGUGCAGGGCCACCCCUAAAUGCCCCUCGACCGGCUCGCGUCCUGCCAAGGGCAAUGUGCAGAAGCCCUGGGCGCGGGUGGAGUGGGACAGUUCUGGAAAAUUCUGGCCCUUCUGGGGGUCUGGGAUAGUUGGGAAAGGGAGAAAAUGGGGCAGGGCGCCCAGGGGGCGGGGGCGGGCGCUGGGCUCGGUGGGGUCUCCGGGGAGCAGCCGUUACUCCUGGCGCCCCCCGUCCGCCUUUAGCGAUGGUUUGGGAACCCGGGCGCUGGAAAGGCGCGGGUGCGGAGGGCGGCUGAGCCGCGCGGCUGCGGCACCGUGGGCGCGAGACCCCUGCGGAGAGGAGCGCGCGGACGCCGGGGGAAGCGCCUCGGGGCGGCUGGAGGCGCAGCACCCUGGGGGAGCCGGGGCGCGGGAGAGACAAAACUGUUCGAACCUUCUCUCCCUUCCCCACCCCCAGCGCCCAAACCCGGGGCGGGUGAGCGCGACCCUUGCAGCGACCCCUUGCCGAGCCCUGCCCGCGCGAUUACUAAGGAGACGCGGCCUCCGGCACUGCCGUCCCCGCGCCGUUUGAAAACGGAUCCAUCAGCGGGGUAUUUGGAGAUUAUUCGCACUGAAUUUUCUGCCCGCCAAGAACGAAUAGGAUUGCCAAGCCACACCACUUUUUGGAGCCCGCUUAUUCGCGCCUAUCCACCCUCUCCUGUGCCCCAGGUUCCCUGAGCACGGGAAUCCUUUCCGGGCAUGGCCAAGUUUGUUCGGUGGCUCAGAGCGGGAAGGGAAGUGCAGUUCGACACCUGUCCAGCUGCUCCGCUUGGAGAUCAAAGGCCGGCUAUGGGCUGAGCGACAGAUUUACGGGACGGUGGUACAGAUUAAGGCGAGAACCCUGCCGGUCCUGGACUCGAGUUCGCACCCAAGGAAAGCGUACAGGUCCCUGGAAGCGGGUGGAUGUCGGAGAGGCCGAGGCAGCCUGCGCUGUGGCCAGGCAGGCUUGGUGGGCUUUAGUCUCAGUAUGUGUUCUUUAAAGUCUUGACAGGUUAUUAGUAAAGGAAGGGGCACCCCAGGGUCAUGAAGAUGCUUCUCGCUCUGGCCCAAGCAUGCUGAGGCUCGCUUAUUCCUCGGCCAGGCCCAGUAAAACAGCUCAAGCACAGCCUGGAGUCUUCCCGCAUCUGCGCGGGAGUAGAGUCUGGCUUUGGGCCCCGCGUACCCCGCAGUCGUCGGGGACCAGUUCGAGGCCACGGGAAGGGUUUCCGCGGCAGGGCGCGGAGUAAAGAGGGGAAGAAGGAAUCCUCUCCGCGUGAUCAGUAGGGCGGGCUUGUGAUACUCUCACACCCAGGUUCCAGCUCAGCCCCCAAACUGCUGCCCCAAGAAAACAAGUUGGGGAGUGUGGAUUUAGACAUAACAACGGGUGUGAGCUGAUGUCCUUACAACCAAAAAUAUUGAGACUAGAAAUUCAGCUCCGAAUCCACGACCCUCAGAUUGAUGCUUAAUCGCACCCUCGACUCCAGAAAAGCUGCCGGGGACAGACAUGGACAGGUUUUGCCAAGGGUUCAUUAAAAUAGUCUGCACUGGAAUAACCGGGGUGCAAGAGAUCACGUCUUCACUCAGGGCUUUGGGGAUCCCCUCGUCGCCCCAGGUCAGUGGGUGGGGAGGAGGGCAAACUUCUGUCUUUUGUUUGUGGGUGAGGGAUGCGAAUUGUGGCAGCAGCCGAGAAAAGGGGGGAAAUUAAUUGCAGCCAAUUAAUAAUUAAUCCCCUUUAAACAGCUUUAUUAUCUCUUCUGGGCGACAGAGAUUUGUCUGAUAACCCCCUGAAGACCAAAUGUCAAGUUUAACCAAAUAGUUAUUGCUUUAUCAACCCGAGU